AUUGAACGCUGGCGGCAUGCCUUACACAUGCAAGUCGAACGGCAGCACGGGAGCAAUCCUGGUGGCGAGUGGCGAACGGGUGAGUAAUACAUCGGAACGUGUCCUGUAGUGGGGGAUAGCCCGGCGAAAGCCGGAUUAAUACCGCAUACGCUCUACGGAGGAAAGGGGGGGAUCUUAGGACCUCCCGCUACAGGGGCGGCCGAUGGCAGAUUAGCUAGUUGGUGGGGUAAAGGCCUACCAAGGCGACGAUCUGUAGCUGGUCUGAGAGGACGACCAGCCACACUGGGACUGAGACACGGCCCAGACUCCUACGGGAGGCAGCAGUGGGGAAUUUUGGACAAUGGGCGAAAGCCUGAUCCAGCAAUGCCGCGUGUGUGAAGAAGGCCUUCGGGUUGUAAAGCACUUUUGUCCGGAAAGAAAACGUCGUGGUUAAUACCCGUGGCGGAUGACGGUACCGGAAGAAUAAGCACCGGCUAACUACGUGCCAGCAGCCGCCGUAACAC
rnacentral:rRNA from 1 species